rnacentral:lncRNA from 1 species
CACAACAUACAUAUACACCAUACACACAACUUACACAUAUACACGUGCAUACACAACAUACAUACACACUCAUACACAAACUUACACAUACACACGUGCGCACACAUACAUAUACACAUACACACCUUACACAUACACAUGUGCACACACAUACACUCAUACACAACUUACACAUGUGCACACACGCACAACAUACAUAUACACCCAUACACACAACUUACACAUACACAUGUGCACACAUACACAACAUACAUAUGCACUCAUACACAACUUACACAUGCACAUGCAACUUACACACAUACACACAACAUACAUAUGCACCCAUACACACAACUUACACACACAUAUGCACACACAACACACACAUGCACACACAUAGACACACAACUUACACAAGCAACAAAACAUACACAUAUACACACAAAGUACAUGCAGGCACACAUUGUGCACACAACACACAUGCACAUAUACACAUAUGCACACAUGUUCACAUGUGCUCACAACAUAUACAAACACACACACUAUUUUGGAUCGGUCACAGCUC